UACGUAGGGGGCAAGCGUUGUCCGGAAUCAUUGGGCGUAAGGCGCGUGUAGGCGGCCCAGUAAGUCCGCUCUGAAAGCCCGGGGCUCAACCCCGGGAGGCGGGUGGAUACUGCUGGGCUCGAGUCCGGAAGAGGCGAGUGGAAUUCCUGGUGUAGCGGUGAAAUGCGCAGAUAUCAGGAGGAACACCGAUUGCGAAGGCAGCUCGCUGGGACGGUACUGACGCUGAGACGCGAAAGCCAGGGGAGCAAACGGG
rnacentral:rRNA from 1 species